CCUUCGAUAGCUCAGUUGGUAGAGCGGAGGACUGUAGGUUGAAGAUACCAGGUAUCCUUAGGUCGCUGGUUCAAUUCCGGCUCGAAGGA
rnacentral:tRNA from 1 species